rnacentral:rRNA from 2 species
GAGUUUGAUCCUGGCUCAGAAUGAACGCUGGCGGCAGGCCUAACGCAUGCAAGUCGAACGGAGUUAUAUUGUAGCUUGCUAUGGUAUAACUUAGUGGCAGACGGGUGAGUAAUGUAUAGGAAUCUACCUAGUAGUACGGAAUAAUUGUUGGAAACGGCAACUAAUACCGUAUACGCCCUACGGGGGAAAAAUUUAUUGCUAUUAGAUGAGCCUAUAUUAGAUUAGUUAGUUGGUGAGGUAAAGGCUUACCAAGACAAUGAUCUAUAGCUGAUCUGAGAGGAUGAUCAGCCACACUGGAACUGAGAUACGGUCCAGACUCCUACGGGAGGCAGCAGUGGGGAAUAUUGGACAAUGGGCGAAAGCCUGAUCCAGCCAUGCCGCAUGAGUGAAGAAGGCCUUCGGGUUGUAAAGCUCUUUUAGUGAGGAAGAUAAUGACGGUACUCACAGAAGAAGUCCUGGCUAACUCCGUGCCAGCAGCCGCGGUAAUACGGAGAGGGCUAGCGUUAUUCGGAAUCAUUGGGCGUAAAGGGCGCGUAGGCGGGUUAGUAAGUUAAAAGUGAAAUCCCAAGGCUCAACCUUGGAACUGCUUUUAAAACUGCUAGUCUAGAGAUUGAAAGAGGAUAGAGGAAUUCCUAGUGUAGAGAUGAAAUUCGUAAAUAUUAGGAGGAACACCAGUGGCGAAA